UGAGCACCAACCCUAGUCCCCCGCGCGGCCCCUUAUUCGCUCCGACAAGAUGAAAGAAACAAUCAUGAACCAGGAAAAAACUCGCCAAACUGCAGGAACAAGUGCGCAUUGGUGGGAAAGGAACUGCUCGCAGAAAGAAGAAGGUGGUUCAUAGAACAGCCACAGCAGAUGAUAAAAAACUUCGGUUCUCCUUAAAGAAGUUAGGGGUAAACAAUAUCUCUGGUAUUGAAGAGGUGAAUAUGUUUACAAACCAAGGAACAGUGAUCUACUUUAACAACCCUAAAGUUCAGGCAUCUCUGGCAGUGAACACUUUCACCAUUACAGGCCAUGAAAUGCUACCCAGCAUCUUAAACCAGCUUGGUGCAGAUAAGUCUGACUAGUUUAAGGAGACUGACCGAAGCUCUGCCCAAACAAUCUGUGGAUGGAAAAGCACCACUUGCUACUGGAGAGGAUGAUGAUGAUGAAGUUCCAGAUCUUGCGGAGAAUUUUGAUGAGGCUUCCAAGAAUGAGGCAAACUGAAUUGAGUCAACUUCUGAAGAUAAAACUUGAAGAAGUUACUGGGAGCUGCUAUUUUAUAUAAUGACUGCUUUUUAAGAAAUUUUUGUUUAUGGAUCUGAUAAAAUCUAGAUCUCUAAUAUUUUUAAGCCCAAGCCCCUUGGACACUGCAGCUCUUUUCAGUUUUUGCUUCUACACAAUUCAUUCUUUGCAGCUAAUUAAGCCGAAGAAGCCUGGGAAUCAAGUUUGAAACAAAGGUUAAUAAAGUUCUUUGCCUAGU